CGGAAGAAGUUCAGCAACAACGGAGGUUCCUCGAUGAACCCACCUUCUAACAAUUUAUUUGAAUAACCUUUUGGGGCUGUUUUUCAUUGACCAAGAACACUACGGUUCUUUGGGAUCUGAGAACAACUUCAGUUGAACCCUAUAUUUUUAGAGUUGUCGUCGGCUCUAUUUACUCUCAUAUUCAGACAUGCUGAUUAGCAUCAACGAUCAAGGCAGCUGCUGCUCCAAAACAGUAUGAGCCUUCCUCUCCUCUGAAGACCCAGUGAGGGUGGAGCUCAGUCAGAGAGCUGUUGAGGGACUGGUUAUGAAGAACACUUCUACAGCCAGAGAGGGGCAGUCAACAAAUGGAACGGCAAGGCCACAGAACAUGACAUAAGCAGAGCUGUGGGAGACCACCUCAAGCCCCUGGUAGAGCCAGGGGUGGUGUUUACCACUCCACCACGCCUUCAGCAGGC